CGGACAGGUUUGUGGCAGUCUGCGGAGCAUGCACGUGUGAGCUUCGAGUAGCUCGAGAAAUAGCUUUAUGUCUUAUUUUUAAAACGUGCAUAUUUAAGUAUUUUAUGUUGUAUUUACAGUUUUGUUUCUUGAUCUGAAUCAGCAGAUGAUGAUUUGUUUUCAUUAUUUUCGUUAGCUGCCAGCUCUAGGUCUGGCAACCUCGUGUGGAGCCAUGUGCUCGAACGUCUUAAAGUGAAAAUGGCAGCAAUGGAUUGAAGCUGUAAGCCUCCAUCACAUAUGGAUUAUUGGAGUUAAUGUGCGAAGGCCUGGCUUCACGACUUGAAAGACCGCCAGUACGGUAUUCUUUUUCAGUGUACAUCUACAUAAAUAAAAAAAAUCCUGUAUAAAGCC